AGUGAACGCUGGCGGUAGGCCUAACACAUGCAAGUCGAACGGCAGCACAGGAGAGCUUGCUCUCUGGGUGGCGAGUGGCGGACGGGUGAGGGAUACAUCGGAAUCUACACUGUCGUGAGGGAUAACGUAGGGAAACUUACGCUAAUACCGCAUACGACCUACGGGUGAAAGCAGGGGACCUUCGGGCCUCGCGCGAUAGAAUGAGCCGAUGUCGGAUUAGCUAGUUGGCGGGGUAAAGGCCCACCAAGGCGACGAUCCGUAGCUGGUCUGAGAGGAUGAUCAGCCACACUGGAACUGAGACACGGUCCAGACUCCUACGGGAGGCAGCAGUGGGGAAUAUUGGACAAUGGGCGCAAGCCUGAUCCAGCCAUACCGCGUGGGUGAAGAAGGCCUUCGGGUUGUAAAGCCCUUUUGUUGGGAAAGAAAUCCAGCUGGCUAAUACCCGGUUGGGAUGACGGUACCCAAAGAAUAAGCACCGGCUAACUUCGUGCCAGCCGCCGCCGUAA
rnacentral:rRNA from 1 species